AUUGAACGCUGGCGGCAGGCCUAACACAUGCAAGUCGAGCGGAUGAAGGGAGCUUGCUCCUGUAUUCAGCUGCGGACGGGUGAGUAAUGCCUAGGAAUCUGCCUGGUAGUUGGGGAUAACGUCCGUUAACGGGCGCUAAUACCGCAUACGUCCUUAGGGAGAAAGUGUUGGUUCUUCGGACCUCACGCUAUCAGAUGUCCCUAGGUCGUAUUAGCUAGUUGGUGUGGUAAAGGCCUACCAAGGCGACUAUCCGUAACUGGUCUGAGAGGAUGAUCAGUCACACUGGAACUGAGACACGGUCCAGACUCCUACGGGAGGCAGCAGUGGGGAAUAUUGGACAAUGGGCGAAAGCCUGAUCCAGCAAUGCCGCGUGUGUGAAGAAGGUCUUCGGAUUGUAAAGCACUUUAAGUUGGGAGGAAGGGAAGUAAGUUAAUAACUUGAUGUUUUGACGUUACCAACAGAGAAAGCAACGGCUAACUUCGUG
rnacentral:rRNA from 1 species